rnacentral:misc_RNA from 1 species
GAUGAAGAACGCAGCGAAAUGCGAUAAGUAAUGUGAAUUGCAGAAUUCAGUGAAUCAUCGAAUCUUUGAACGCACAUUGCGCCCCCUGGUAUUCCGGGGGGCAUGCCUGUCCGAGCGUCAUUACAACCCUCAAGCUCAGCUUGGUGUUGGGCCCCGCCGCCCCGGCGGGCCCUAAAGUCAGUGGCGGUGCCGUCCGGCUCCGAGCGUAGUAAUUCUUCUCGCUCUGGAGGUCCGGUCGUGUGCUCGCCAGCAACCCCCAAUUUUUUUCAGGUUGACCUCGGAUCAGGUAGGGAUACCCGCUGAACUUAAGCAUAUCAUAGCGGAGGA